rnacentral:rRNA from 2 species
UAAGCAUAUCAAUAAGCGGAGGAGAAGAAACCACAGGGAUUGCCCUAGUAACGGCGAGUGAAGCGGCAACAGCUCAAAUUUGAAAUCUGGCUCUCUUUGGGGGUCCGAGUUGUAAUUUGCAGAGGAUGCUUUGGCAUUGGCGGCGGUCUAAGUUCCUUGGAACAGGACAUCGCAGAGGGUGAGAAUCCCGUACGUGGGCGCCUGCCUUUGCCGUGUAAAGCUCCUUCGACGAGUCGAGUUGUUUGGGAAUGCAGCUCUAAAUGGGAGGUAAAUUUCUUCUAAAGCUAAAUACCGGCCAGAGACCGAUAGCGCACAAGUAGAGUGAUCGAAAGAUGAAAAGUACUUUGGAAAGAGAGUCAAAAAGCACGUGAAAUUGUUGAAAGGGAAGCGCUUGCAGCCAGACUUGCCCGCAGUUGCUCACCUAGGCUUUGGCCUGGGGCACUCUUCUGCGGGCAGGCCAGCAUCAGUUUGGGCGGUUGGAUAAAGGCCUCUGUCACGUAUCUUCCUUCGGGAUGACCUUAUAGGGGAGGCGUAAUGCAACCAGCCCGGACUGAGGUCCGCGCAUCUGCUAGGAUGCUGGCGUAAUGGCUGUAAGCGGCCCGUCUUGAAACACGGACCAAGGAGUCUAACAUCUAUGCGAGUGUUUGGGUGUCAAGCCCGGGCGCGCAAUGAAAGUGAACGGAGGUGGGAACCCUUUGGGUGCACCAUCGACCGAUCCUGAUGUCUUCGGAUGGAUUUGAGUAAGAGCAUAGCUGUUGGGACCCGAAAGAUGGUGAACUAUGCUUGAAUAGGGUGAAGCCAGAGGAAACUCUGGUGGAGGCUCGCAGCGGUUCUGACGUGCAAAUCGAUCGUCAAAUUUGGGCAUAGGGGCGAAAGACUAAUCGAACCAUCUAGUAGCUGGUUCCUGCCGAAGAUCCCCCC